AUCUUCUCUUAAGCAGGCUCAACUUGGAGACAACUGCAGGAUUAGCAAGAGAAGGAGGAGCAUCCACUCUUCCAGCCAAAUCAGUUGAAUCCCCACAGAAUAGCCUCAGAUCGUGGUGACUGUAGCCGCAUUUGAGCGUAAAGAACUUUACGAUCCCAGUGUCAGCAAGAAUUUUGAGGAGGAAACACUAUGCAUCCUGAGGAACUCAGAGAUUCUGCUGUACGUUCCUUUCCACGCAGAGACAUUUGAAGCUCUCUUUCUCACAGCCAUAGUGUCCAGCACAGGCCAUGGCAGCCACCUCAGAACAAGGGACCAGAGGUAAGUGACAGAAAGCUCUCUGCACAUUUUAUGAUUCAGUAGUAAAA
rnacentral:lncRNA from 1 species